UUCUAAUUUUUAUCGAAUAUAAGUAAAAUCAAAACAAAUGAUAUUAUACAAGAGGGAGACUUUGUACAAAAGUCGUUUACAUGGGUACCUCUGUUCAAUUCGUGUUGGUAACGUGAAGCGGUUGUGUUUCAGUUUGAAUGGUGGGAUAUGACAGUGAAUUUACAGCGUACAGAGGCAUAACAUCUUAGUCCUUAGGAAUGGCAAGACUUGGGGGAUGUCGUGCGCGAAACGGUAUACUUUGUUAUGUCCAUGGUAUUGUUCAUGUCUAUAGGCGACAGUUAACACUUUCCAUCAGAUGGGCUUUCAGCUUAUUUGCUAUUUUAAAUUGCAUAAAGAAAAUUAUCGUAUUGAAAUAUUGAAUAUGAAUUUCAGGGCUGCUAUGCCAAAAAUGAUACAGACUAGUGGUUAAAAUUUGUAACACUUCUCUUUUUUAUUCACAGCUGAAAUAAUUUAUACGAUAAAUGACAAAGAAGUUCUUAAAUAUCGAGGACAUUACUACACUCGGGUUCCGGGAUCGUCGACAAAUCGAUGGCGUUGCAUAAACACUUCAAUUUGUUACGUAACUCUCUGUUUUAACAACAAUUUUGAGCUGAAAAAGGAGCCUAAAGAACAUAAUCAUCCAUCAAAGGAGUUCUUAAAACUAUACGACGGGAAAUAUGAUUCAGUUAGGUGCUACAAAAGGCGUCAAUAAUAUAAAAAAUAUAACUUCAAAAAUGCUAACAUGGUGGAACAACUUGGAUUUGGUUUUAGCAUCCGAAAUACAAAUUCACAAAUAAACAAUAAUACCAAGUGUCCGGUUGAACCUGUUAUAGACUUUUUUGAUUCUGUGUAAUUUAACAGCCAAAUUUUGAAGAUUAAAUCCUACACAUUUUUAUCCUAAAUCAUAUAUCACAUAAAUCAUGACAACUAUUUGAAAUAAAUUUAUAGUACAUACGAGGACUUAUGUUGAACUUUAAAAUAUUAUAAUCAUAGUAGUUUACUAUGUAAUAAACCUGAACCUGUGUCUGAAAUCUGAAGAAAUGUUGUUAUGCCUAAACUUUAAAGACCUUUUGAUAUUUAUUUGUCAUACCAUGAGAUUAUACUUGCUGUAUGUUAGCUGUAUUUUCAUAUUGAAAGAAUGAUACUCUAGUUGCAGUUUCAAGGUAAAAUUAAGACGGUAUAACAGAAUUGAGAGAAUGUUCUAGAACUCGGAACACCAUUAAAUUAUUAUUUCUUUAAAUUUGGUUUCAAUUUUUUUAACUGUAACGACCUGGCUGUAAAUGUUCAGAACAUAGUACAUGGCAAUGAAAAUAUAUCUUUUACGUUUUAUUGUCGUAUGAUUUUAAAAGCUGAUUUUCCCAUAUUGGUUUCUGCACUUACCUAACCAUUUAUACCGUCAAUUUUUAGUUCGUUCAUUAACUGUGUAUUAACUCUAUGUAUGUGACGUAUAUAUUUAAAGACAAGUCAGUGAGAAACCAGUGAUGUCAUAUGAACUGGUUUUACCUACGCUUGUACGCGUUCCUUACUAACCCUUAGAUUUCAUUCAUAUAAUGACCUCAUAUUUGAACGGCAUAACUGACCUACCUUUUAUCAGUUUAAACCUACAUUGAUCUGUUGAACAGAUCAAUGGUAUACCGAUAGCCCAGUGGAGGUAACCAUUCCUUUUUCAUGUCAUAAACAGAGUAGGGCUUAUUUUCUAUUUGUACUUGUUUUAAGAACUAUCCUUAUCGGUUAUCGGUUUUUGAAUGUGCAUGAAAUGCUUAUUAAUCUGCUGUUUCUUUGGAUUGUAUGCAUAAUUUUGGUUAUUGUGUGACUGUUCUUGAUUUUACUUUUCACAUAGUGAAACUCUAACCAUAAACGAUUUAAGCUUGCUAAGAUACUCAAAACUUCGAAUCCGAUGGUAAAAAAAAUAAAGUACUUUACUGGAAUUCCCUACUACUUUUUGAGUAACGGCCCACGUGAUUGAAAGUAGUAAUCGUUGCCUAUAAAUAUGAAAAGGACCAUGGAUAUAAAAGAAUAUAAUAUGUCGCCUACAAUAUUCUGCAUGUGUUGCCAUUCCUUAGGACUAAGGUCUGUACGCUGUAAUUUUAUUACAAUAUUGCUAUAUCUCACCCUUCAAGCAGAAACACAGCCAUGCAAACAAUUGCAUCACGGCAGAAACAUGAACAGGACACUUAUUAUUUAGAUACAAUCAAAUAAAGAUCAUUUAAGUCUAUAAACAUAACCAUAGACAAUUUUGUUUCAGCGGAAAUGAUAACAACGGUGCAAGGCAGACAGUUUUUAAAAUAUAAAAAUUAUUUUUAUGGUAAGACUCCUUACCUGAAGAGAAGGUGGCGGUGCGUGAACACAAGACGUUGUUACGCGUCUAUGUCGGUUUCGGAAGACCUAACUAUUAUCAAAGAGCCAUCGCCUCACAACCAUACUACCAAACAGUUUAUUAUAUUGCCUGAUGUGAAAGCAAUAACAAUGCUGGAGGGCAGACGGUUGCUGUUGUAUAAAGGAUAUCUCUACAGUAAGACAGCAAAUUUGAAAACACGCUGGCGGUGCAUAAAUACGAAUAAUUGUUACGCGGGUAUUUGUGUUAAAGAAGAGGACGAAACAAUUCUUAUCAAGGAGUCACCGACGCCCCACAACCAUUCGCCCCGAAAGAUUCGAAGAAUGUCAAAUGGCAGGUACACGUUCGCGAAAAGAAGCUCCAGUCCUGUCUCGAUUUAUACAAGAUAUAUUACACUAAUGCAUAGAUGAAUUGUAUUAGACUAAUUUUUUUUUAGUAUUCUGUCUACGAGUACAUAAACCGUAAGCUUAGAUUAUACAGAUAGAGUGUGACAAAUGAAAAACAAACGGACCCAUGUUUAAAGUGGACACAGAUAUCCUCUGAUAUCGAUUUUGAAGGCAACCAUAUAUUUUAUACCAGAGGGAGACUUUGUACAAAAGCCGUUUGCUUGGGUACCUCUGUUCUAUUCGUGUUUCAACCGUGAAUCAGUUGUGUUUGCAUGGCUGUGUUUCAGUUUGAAGGGUGGAAUAUGGAAUUUACAGGGUCCAGAGGAAUAAUACACCUGAGUUUUUAGGAAUGGCAACGCAUGUGGCGUAUCGUGGGCGAAACAGUAUACUUUGUUAUGACCAUAGUGAGGUGGGCCGUCAGCUUGUUUGCCAUUCUAAGUUGUAUAAAAAAGGCAAUCGGUCGUUAAAAUUGCGGCCAUUUUGAUUAACACUGAUAUCGGAACUAUAUUUGAAGUGUAUAGGGAAUGAUCUGUUAUCAAUUUUGAACGCAUUCGGUCAAAUAUCAAAGAAAAUAAAAGUGGUGGCCAUUUUUGUUAAUUAUGACACCGAAUCUAUAUUAAAUAUAUAGGUAUCAUCCCAUAUCGAUUUUGAAUGCAAGCGAUCAAAUAAUAAAUAACGUAAAAAUGGCGGCCAUUUUUAUUAAUUAUGUCACCGGUAUCGUAUUUAACACUAAAUCUACCAAACGCGGUGAAAUACCAUUUAUGAAAUUUAAUUUAAAAAUUUUCAUGUUAAUAUAAUAUAAAAUAAAUUUUCACUUACUAUACUUACUAAAGGUUUUAAGCAUAAAAACAAAUGUUUUUAUGCUUAAAACAUUUUUACCGGUUAUAAGUGAUUCCUUUAUUAUGCUUAAAUGCUUUUUAACGGUUAUAAAUGAUUCCUUUAUUAGUUAUAUAUUUGUCUUAUAAUUUUGUACAUCAUAUCACUCAUGUACCUUUUUAAUGGGCAAGAAUUUCUUUAUUAAAACAUUAAAUUUAGAUACGUCAAGUGUAUACUAAUAAAAAAACGAGCAUACUAAUUUGACAAUUAGCUGAAAGAAAAAAUUAUAAAGUUGAUCUGUUUUUAAGAUUCGAGGCUCUAUCUAUAUAAUCUAACGGGCUUAGAACGCUAAUGUUAAGGAAAUGCUUGAUAAAUGCUGUGUAUAGUAUAGCGCUCAUUUAUUUUCUAGAAUUUGUGAUUAAUAAAUCAUUAUAUUCUUAGCAUUCUGUUUAUUGUCCGUUAUUAACUAUGAUAAAUCGGAUAUUUAUAUACCAAUCUCUACUAAUAUUAUAAAAAGGAAAAUAAAUAAUAUUUGUAUGUUUGUUUGUUCACAAUGGAUAAAUUCAAAAAUUACACAACUGACUUUAAAAAUUUACCAUCACUUUCACCUAUAGAAAGCUACAUUAUCAGCAAGUAACAUAGGUUAAAACUUAUGUUCUUUUAAAAACAAACAUAGUGUGUUUAUAAAAUUCUCGUUGUGCAUGUAUGUAGACAUACAGCCUUAUAUUAUUAAAAAAAUUAGAGAUCCCUACGAAAAUUACAAUAUUCUAUCCCAAUGCAUAAAAAAAAUGCCUAGUGAAGUUAACAUAACUAAAAUAUUAAUUUAUCUUUUUAUCAUUUACCUGUUCGAAGCCAGAGCGAUUCGAUAGUUGUUUAUAAGAAAUAUCACUCUAAUAUCUUUACACGUUAAAUUCAUUUUCUUUAAAAGGAUUAAUAAAUAUUCCCUGUAUCGUGUUAUGUCAAAUGACUAAUAUGAUUUCAGGAAAACAAAAUUGAAGUCUGUCUUAACUUUCAAAUGUAUUAAGUACAUACUAAAGUCUAGUUAUUGCUUGUCUCAUGCUCUGAGACUAGCAACAACUAGACUGAAGAGUUCUAAAAUCUUUAGCUUUUUUUACUUUACAACACAGGGGGCAAACUAGCAUGCGGCUCACCUGAUGAUAAAUGACUACCGUCGCCCAUGAUCACCUACAACACCAAAGGCAUUACAGGUGUGCUGCCAAUUUUUUAAUAAGGAAUAUACUCUUGAAGGUUAUGAUACCGUAUCGAUUCGAAAAUACUGCUUUCUUUCAUUAAUCUUUAGCUGUAGGGUUUUUACCCUUGUACAUUCUAUAGUUUUGUUUAAGAUUCUCAAAAGUUGAAUGUAAGAUCCCUUUAUGGGAUAAGUCCACCAUUGUAUAUUAAAUCUUUUAAUGCGUAAAAUUAUGUACAAUAAAGAUUUUACGAUACAAUACAAUACAAAGAAUUGUGAUUAAUAAAACUAAUUAUAUUAUUACAGCAUUAGCUUAUAGGUAUUUCCUUUUAGUACUUACUCGACGCCGUGUAAGUCUUGGUAUAGAAUAGGUCACCCCAUCCUUUCCCAUGAGUGUCGUAUGAGGCAACUAAGAGAGCUUAUGAUGGAGGGAUAGGCAUCAGCGUCCCUCUUAAAAUAUCACCAAAAAUCAAACUGCGGUUGCCAAACCGCUUGCCAAGCGUUGCAACUACUGGCAAAACCCACUUAUUAGGAAGGCUAUAUCCAGCAGUGGUUAGUUAAUAGCUGAUACAACAAUUUACUCGGUAGCUGAUUCCACAACUUUUCUCCAUGAACCCGUUAUCACCUGUUUCUGUGGGAUUUCUCCCGGUAAAUAUGGAAGCAUUGACUCUUAAUACUUCAAAUUAAUAAUUAAAAACCAUUUUUUUUACAGUGCAAAUAAUAACCACGUUGCAAGGAAGACAGUUGUUGAUGUAUAAAGGACAUUUUUAUAGCAAGACUUCUUAUUUGAGGAAACGGUGGAGAUGUUUAAACACGAAUAGUUGUUAUGCAGGUAUCUGUGUCGACGAGGAUGACCAAACCUAUAUUCUGAAAGAGCCUCCUCCCCACAACCAUUUGCCCAGAAGGUUUAUCGUAAUGCCUGACGGCAGAUACAAAAUCCUUAAGAAAAGUCUUUAGAAUACUCUUAAAUACAAGUGCAGUUUAUUUUAAUAUUGUGUAUAGAAGCUUAAGAAGGUUUGUCGAAGUAAAUUUAGGAGUAACGCAUCUCGUUACUAGUAUAAUAUAUAAUAGUGUAAUAGUAUACUGUUUUUUAUGCAACUUAGAAUGAUAAGCUGACGGCCACACCUGAUGGAAAGUGGUAACCGUCACCUGUAAAUAUGAACAAUACCAUAGACAUAACAGAGUAUAUUGUUUCACCCAUGCGUUGCCAUUUUUGAGGACUCAGGUGUUAGUCCUCUAUACCCUGUAAAUUCACUGUCAUAUCCCACCCUUCAAAUUAAAACACAGCCAUGCAAACAGAACUCCUUCACGGUAGAAAUACGAAUGGGACAGAGGUACCCAAGCAAACGACUUUUGUACAAACUCUCACUCUGAUAAGAUUGUGAAAUUUACAAUGGUACAAUAGAUUACAAUUCCACUAAUAUUAUAAAUGUGUAUGUCUGUGAAAGUGUUUGGGUGCUUGGAUGUUCCUAAUAUAAUCACAUCAAACGGCUGAACAGAUUUCAAUGAAAUUGUAUACACAAAUGGUCAAUGUAUAAAAAUUAUUAAUUAAUCAAUUUCCUUAUUAAUAUUAUCAGCUUUAUUCACAUAUACCUUAUCGUAGUUACCGAAGGCUCUAGAGAUUUAUCACUUUUUCUGUUACUACUAUCGAGUCUGUAACUGCCUUCCUUAGACGCGAUAGGUGCUUUUAAUCUUUAAAUUGUGUCACAAGCCAAUAUAAAAAAAAGUUAAUCUCCCUUAUUCAUAACAACUAAAACCUUCUACUUUAUUGGAUUAUUUUGUUAGUUUACUUUCAAAUUGGGAAUUUAGUGUAAAAGAAUGACAGAAAACAGUUCGAUAGCUAAAAGUUUAUGAGUUUUGACGUUUGUAUGAAUAUCCCUUAUUCAUGUGCAUAUCUUUAACGUCCCAUUACUGGGCAUGGGUUUCUCGCCGUAAGAAGAGGAUAUAACCAACUACUAUUCCCUCGUCAAGGCAGCGAGGGAUAGGUUUUUGUUUAUUCUGUUUUGAGUGCACUGUAGUUCUUUCUUUCUAAUCUUAAAUAAAAAGAAUGAUGACAGUGAAUUUUUACUGUACCACAAAUGGAGAAGGCUGAUGUAAAUAUUUGUAAUUUAUUAAUACUUGAUAUAUUUAUUAUACGACUAGCUGACCCCGCGAACUUUAUACCGCCUAAGAGUCGAUUUUAAAUUUUUUUAGUUUUUCUUUUUAAUACUUAUUCUGCUAUUUGAGACGCCGGAUCAGUUAGUAAGAUAAAAAAUUAAAAAGAAAGUUAAUAAGUCAACAAUUACAUUUUGUGAAAAAACAAAAAUUAUAAAACACGCCGUACCAGGUCACUCGAUUGUUUUACCUUCCCGGAACGUCUCCACUAACACUUGAACUUUAUGGUAUGGUAUUAAAGUUCAAAUUGACUUUUAAGUAUUAUUACGAAUCGUUUGUAUGAUUUAGGAGUAAAGAAAAAUGUUGUUUUUAGACUUUUUCAGGCAUUUUUUUUUUAUUUUUCUCUCCAUAAGAACUAUCCUCAUACUUCAAAGAAUAUUCUAAAAAUUAACUACCAAAAUUGAUUCUGCUAUUCUCAAAAUUUGCGCUUAGCAACACAUUUAGCGAUUCAUUUCUAUAUUAUAGAUAAAUGUUUGCCAAAAUAAUUAUAGUACAAAUAAGUUGAUAACAAUCUAAGAGUUGUUUUUGUUCGUUAUUCCUAGUGUUUUCUUUUUUAAUGGAUGAUAAUGGAAUGGUUAUCCCGCCUGCACCAACGGUAUAUGCUGGCGGGGCACCAGUGAGGAAUAAUAGGCGAGAAUAAAGAGACAGGCAGUCAGCCUAUCGUGACGAACACACCCAGAAUUCGGCAUGACGGUUUUUAGGGGAGGCCGCGUGGAGGUCGACCUGACAGGGUAUAUUUCUAGCAGCGGGUCUGGUAGUCCGCAUUACUAACAAUCCCUCCCCACCUAAAUUUUUUUUACAACACAAGGGGCAAACGAGAAUGCGGCUCACCUGAUGGUAAGUGACUACCGCCGCCUAUGAUCACCCACAACACCAACGGCAUUGCAGGUGUGCUGCCGACCUUUUAAAAAGGAAUAUACUCUUUUCUUGAAGGUUAAGUUGUCGUAUCGGUUCGGAAAUACUGCUGCUGGAAGUUGAUUCCAAAGAAUGGUUGUGCGUGGAAGAAAGUGUCUUGAAAACGCACGGUGGAAAACCGCCACUCAUCCAGAUGGUUGGGAUGAAACUUUAGUUUAUGACGGGUUGUACGAUGGUGAAAAUCAGCAGCAGGUAUUAAUCCGAACAAUUCCUCAGAACACUCCCCAUGAUAAAUUCGCUAGAAGAUGCAGAGAUGCAACAUCUCUGCGCAGUUUCAGUGGGUCGAGUCGGACAGUAAGGCGGUGACUAUCAAUAAUUCGAGCCGCCCAAAAUUUAUAAAUUUUUAUGACAGUACCGCAACUGGGUAUAUUAAUAAUCAAUAAAACCGGUUUUUUUUUUUCAGUGGAAGUAAUAACCACGUUGCAAGGUAAGCAGUUAUUGAAAUAUCAGGACCAUUUUUACUGCAGGACGCCAUACAUGAAGAGACGGUGGAGAUGCAUCAACACGAACUACUGUUACGCGGGCAUUUGUGUUCUCGACGAUUUAACCGUUAUAAAAAAACCGUUAUGCCACAAUCACAUGCCGAAAGAAUUUGAAAUUAUGCCUGAUGGUCGAUAUAAGUUUUUUAAAAGUUUGUCAUCUAGUUUAUAUAGAAAUCAGUAUCAGUAUUCGACUAGAAUAGCAAACUAAAUCUAUUUCAGUAGACGCCCACGCUUUCAUAUCUCUAGAAUUCUAGACGGUAUAAGAAAUACGUUAUUCUUGGUCUGGCUGUUUUUAGAAUUUACUAAUAAAAAGAUAUAACUUUUGUACUUCGUACGUUUCGCGCAGUUUUAUAUUUCAACUAAUAUUUUAAUAAACGUUAAUGCUAUCAAUUUGAAAUGUGAAACAUCUCUGAUGGUUUUUUUUUAUACAACUUAGAAUGGCAAACAAACUGACGGCCCACCUGAUGGAAAGUGGUAACCGUCGCCUAUAGACAUGAUCAGUACCAUGGACAUAACAGAGUGUACUGUUUCGCCCAUGAUAUCCCCCAUGCGUUGCCAUUCCUGAGGACUCGGGUGUUAUUCCUCUGUACCCAGUAAAUUCACGCCGUAUCCCACCCUUCAAAUCGAAUUUAUUUUUAUUACAUAGAUUACUGUGUAGCUAUAUUUUAUUUUACUACGGUGAUAUUCUCUGAUGAAUUACUAUAUAAGGUGAAAUCUAAAACGUUUGCGGUUACGUUAAACAAAGAAUACAGACAGAACAGAAAAAUAAACAGAAAGUUUGUGAAUCAACGAUAAAAGUAUUUUCAUUAGUUUGUCAAUUAUAAUUAUUUUGUUUAAUUCCGUUAUCGUUAGUAUGCGUAUGAUGAUGUGAUGAUGAACGUUUGAAGGUUUACUUAGUAGAAUAUUGGAGUCCGUCAAUAUUGUUUUCCUUCCUUAGUUUAACUAAAAAAAAAGUACCGACUGAACGGAGGAGUGUGCGCGGACGCUUGCUCCUGUGAAAUAUAUGUUAUUGAGUGUUUUAAACUGUAUAUGCCCUGAAGAGUCCUUUUUUUUUACAACACAGGGGGCAAACGAGCAUGCGGCUCACCUGAUGGUAAGUGACUACCGCCGCCCAUGGUCACCCACAACACCUACGGCAUUGCAAGUGUGCUGCCGGCCUUUUAAAAAGGAAUAUGCUCUUUUCUUGAAGGUUAUGUUGUCGUAUCGGUUCGGAAAUACUGCUGCUGGAAGUUGAUUCCAAAGAGUGGUUGUCCUUCAGGGCAUAUACAGUCAUUAAGAAUUACUAGUCAGUAAGAAUUUGUGUAUACGUGCAUAUACAAUUUGAAGAAGAAUUGUCGACCAUCUACAAUAAAGAGAAGUCACGAAGUCGAUGCCAGGUUAGUCCUUCUCGACUGAUAGAAGUUUUUCCUUAUAAAACUUUUCCAUUGCGGUAUUUUACCUUACAAUGAGCAUGUAAAAUCGCUCUCCGGUAAGCUAUAUCAGGGUUUUUCGUGAGUGAUGAAGGUACCUUAAAAACUCAUAGCACUAAAGGAUUUUCACACGAGUAGCUCGUGGAUAUGCUUCUGUAAUAACCACUGAUAUACAUUGAAAGAGACUAACAAUUAACACAAAAAACAAAUUUGGGUUAAACCCAAAUUGAAAAUAAAUAAAAAGAAAAAUAUAUGAUCUACAUACACUGCUAUAUAGUAUAUAUAGUAUAUAUAUGCAUAUAUAGUAUUCAACACCAGUCAUGCCUUCCAUUUUUGUAUAAUUUGUAAAUUGCUAAUUAAAUUAAAAAAUGGUACUAAUUAUUGCAGACGAUUUGAAUUUAAUGUAGAAUUGACUCUUAUCAGAUAUUUAAGAAAAAUGACUGUAUUUUUUUUAUUAUUACUAUUUUUUUUCUUUAUCUUAUUUUUUAUUUUGUUGUACGAUUUUGGUAUUAUUUUGUUUCAGAAAACAUUACAAGAUUAAGGAAAUAAAGAUGUUUUAAAUUUGACUGUCUUGCAUUAGAUUAUAAUUAUAUAGUUGUACAUGGAUUGGGCCCAAGCUAUUUACCAUCUUCAAUUCUUUCUUUUAAAUUUUUUUUCUUUUUUAGUAUACGAAAUAAUAUUGUCUGGCGGCAAGAAGUAUUUAAUGCUCAACGGCUAUACAUUCACGAAGGACCACAGGGUUAUCCGUCACUUAGGGUACAGAUGUACAAAUACCACAAUAUGCUAUGCAAAGAUCCGCGUAGCAAAUGAUUUGACGCUGCUUAGUGACAUCCCUAUACAUAACCAUCGACCUCCCAAAUACAGUAUCCGUAACGGCACUUAUAUUAAAUUGUGAUGGAUGCGAUUCUCCUAAGUUGUUUUUUUUUUUUCCUUAACUCAACGCGUUUGGACAAGUUUGUUAUUUUUUUGCUUGUAGAAAUAAAUAAAUGGUUUUCCAAAUGUAGUUGUUCUUCGUGUUUUCCAAACUUUUUGUAAUGUUAAACAAAUUCUCGUUUGAAAGAAUCGUAAUUUUAGAUUUGCUUUAUAUUUAUUCAUUACAUGUUUUUAUCAAUUCUGUGUCUAAUUUAAUAAUUCUUUUUUACCAUUCGUAUUGUUUACUCCUUUCAGUUAGUCCCAUAUUAAUUAUGCCAUUAUUAAGUCGACGUUUUUUUUUUGUGAACAAUUUUUUUAUGUCACUUGGAGUUAGACCAAAUAAGUUGACAAUCCACCUGAUGGAAAGUGAGAACUAUUGAUUAAGAGAUGAACAAUACUGAAUACGCCCACGACCAAGGGCGUUUACUUUAGUACCCCAUAAUUAUUACAAAAGUUAAGUAAAUCAUUAAAUUCAGAUUACAUAUGUACAACACAUUUCUAAUCUGGAUUUCUUUCUUUGUAUAUAUAAAAUGAUGUGAUCUUAAAACAACAUUAUGUUUUGCGCAGGCGAUCCCCAAGAAAUAACAUUGAUUAAUGGGAAAAAGUUUAUUUUGUACAACGGUUACACGUACAGUUUCGGGUUCACGAACCGAAUCGGCCAGCGGUGGCGGUGUAGCACAGGCUGCAAGGCCCACAUAGUCGUCACCAGCAACAAGGAACUAGUUACGGCCACCGGGGUCCACACACACGUCGCACCCAAUUACCACUUGUUGUCAAAUGGCAGAUAUAUGAAAGUUAAUAAGAAUUGAUGUUCACGCCAUGCAUGCAUGAACAGAGUGAUAACUCGCCUCACCAUCGACAGAGAGUUCACCCUCAUACCCUAUAGCCUAGAUGGUCGCAAACAACGCGGUUUCAGAGAUAUUUUCUUCCACGAACACUCAGGUUAUGGAAUGAGGAUUCCAAGGGUUUUCCAAGAGAUUAUAUCAUGGGGUUCUUCAAAAGGAGGGUAAAGAGGUUUCUUUAGGAUCAACAACGCGCAUGUAAUACUCGUACCCCUGGUAUUGCAGCCGUUCAUAGGCUACAGUAACCGCUUACCAUCAGGUGGGUCGUAUGCUUUGUAUUACGUAUAAAUAUUUGUAUAAAAGAAGGAAAUUUUAGUUAAUAAGACUUGAUCGGCAUAACUAUUCCAAAUAUGUCUCCUCCAUCCGUAUACAUCCCUUGAUUCAUCCAUAUACAUUUUUCACACAACGCAAACACGUUUGUGAAAAUUGAAAUUCUGCCUUAAACAGGUCACAGUCUAGUGUAAAAAAUGUAUGUGUAAACAUUUUUAAUAAAGCUGAUGAAUCUGAAAGACGGUACCCUCGCCAUCUCAUUGGAUUGGAAUAUGCUCGGCAAGAUGUGGCCAAAAGAACUGUGACAAUUAUUUAUGUUAACAAUAGUUUCUAUCUAGUCUUAAAUCGUGAGAUAGUUUGUUUAUUUGUAUUAGGCUUUUAUUAAUCUUUAUCAAUAUAAAGAUUUCAUAUUAAAAUCGGAAAGUGAUUCUUUUGCUAGAUCUGUAUAAAGUAUUUUUUUGUCUACCAUCAACAUCCUACUUUAGUUAUAUUUGCCAAAAUAAUUGGAAUAUUUUUUGUGUUAUUUGCAAAUAUUUAGUGUGAUUUAAUUAGUUUUAAAUCAUAAAGUGGGUGUUAGACAUGAUUAUGUCGAAAAUUGUUGUGUCGUUUAAUUUUUAAUUAAUCUUUAUAUAAGCUUCAUAAUUUAGGUGUAGUGUAAAUUAUAGAUGUUUUAAGAGAUAUUUCUCAAAAAAUAUUUUGGUAUAUGUCUGGUGUUAUAAAGAUGGGUUUUGUUAAUCGAUGCUGUGUAAUAUGGAUUUGUUACUAACAAUAAAUACAAUUAUUCCAUAAAAUACUAGCAGUAGGCUGUACAUAUAUAAAUUGUUAAUCUUUAUCUUCUGUAACAUCUAUCAUUACAGUUGAAAUCGUAGUAAGAAAAAAUAUAUAGUUUUACACAUUGCCUAUGUUUAUAUAGUUGUAUAUAGCUGCGCAGAGGUCUCACGUAAAACGGACCAAAUGAGAGGUUUAUUGCAGAGAUGAGAGUCCGAUUUACAUUACAUAGCUGCACAGAUGAAGGAUUUCAUGACCACGAGAGAAAUUCUCUGUAUUCUAUUUAGACGAAAAAAGUACGUCGAGCAUUAUCCUUCGUUUGUGCAGGUCCUAUACUAUUCAUCGUUGCCAUUUUACCUAUAAUUCCACAGUGUAAGGAAAAACCAGUGGUCCAAUUCUUUUGCUUUAUUCCGAAUAAUAACACGACAUUUCGAGAUUAUAUUACUCUACUUGAACAUGUUCGUUGGACACCCGGUAGUAAAAAGUUCCUUAGGCUGUGGUAUAUAGAUCGUAGUGUAGUCGGUUGGAGAAAUAAUAUAAUAUUGAAUAUA